AUUGAACGCUGGCGGCAGGCUUAACACAUGCAAGUCGAGCGGGAUAGGGUGCUUGCACCUGAUUCCUAGCGGCGGACGGGUGAGUAAUGCUUAGGAAUCUGCCUAUUAGUGGGGGACAACAUUCCGAAAGGGAUGCUAAUACCGCAUACGCCCUACGGGGGAAAGCAGGGGAUCACUUGUGACCCUGCGCUAAUAGAUGAGCCUAAGUCGGAUUAGCUAGUUGGUGGGGUAAAGGCCUACCAAGGCGACGAUCUGUAGCGGGUCUGAGAGGAUGAUCCGCCACACUGGGAACUGCUGACACGGCCCAGACUCCUACGGGAGGCAGCAGUGGGGAAUAUUGGACAAUGGGGGGAACCCUGAUCCAGCCAUGCCGCGUGUGUGAAGA
rnacentral:rRNA from 1 species